GAGUAGGCUUGGAGGUGGGGAGGCGGGUUCUCAUGCCGUGCUAUGGUACCUUCAGGAGAUGAUCUUGGCAUGAUUUGUCUUGACUCAGACCUGGGCAACUCAUCACACUGGCACUGUGGGACUCUCCAGCUCCCAUUGCAGGCUGGUCAUGGGACUGGUGUAACACCCCCCCCCCCAAACUCCUCAGUUAGAUCAUGCUUUAAAGGAGAAACCAGAUUUAUUGGCCUAACUCAAUCUUAGUCCUCUCUGGAUGCAGGACAGCUGUCGGCUAGCAGGGACACAACCAGCCAUCAAGUGGAGAGUCGUUGGGACUUUGGUCUGUGUGCAGGUGGAGCCUGGAAGACUGACAGUCUAAUUUCGGUCAUCUAAUGACUUCUUAUUUUCCUAACUAAUUGUGCUUGCUAAGCACACAAUGGUCUGGAUUAGUCUUGGAGCCUUCAUCAAGUUGGGCUGCAAAUCAGGAUGCCAGCAAGCCUGCAAUAGCCUUGGCUCCCUCCUGUGUGAUGCUAUGCUAAUUCCCAGGAUGGGUCACUCUGACAACAAAAAAGGACGCUUGACUUCUCUUGUGAUGCUAGAAGAGCAUAAUUCUUUUUUGCAGCGAUUCUCUCUCUCUCUCUCUCUCUGUGUGUGUGUGUGUGUGUAUGUGUGUGUGUGUAAAAUUCAUCAAACCAAAGAGCCUAAGAGAUAUCAUUGUGGAUGUGGCUUUUAAUGAUUUGCGGGAGAAAAAGAAAAAGAAAAAUGACAGCCUGUGGAGACGCCGAUUGGAGAAAGCAGCACACUGUGGUUAUUGCCAAUUUGAAAUACUGGGUUUGUGAAGCCAAGCCCUAAGGGAGUAGCCGGGUAACUGAGAAAGAGAUCGUAGAUAAAGAAAUAAAAAUGACAAGCGUAAUGGAGGCUGUGCGAAGGGACUGUCAGCGCAUCCGUUCAUGGAUGGCAAUCUUGCCAGGCAGAGAUUGAAUAAUUCAUAGAUGGAAACUACCCUGCCUUCACCUUCCCAUUUAAACCGGGCAUGAGCUGAAUCUCUAAUAAAUUUUUAGAAGAUAAAGUAAAAUGCCAAUUUGAAUCUGAAGAGCUUUUAAAAGCAGAUGUCGCAUCCCCCCGAAUCGUUCAGUAUCUUUCACAAUUACACUCUGAGGACUGCACUUCAUCAGGAAGCACCGUCACCAGGGAAAAUGACUGUGAUUACAAUAGCAACAAUAGAAUGCCAUCGAAUGAUCUCUAAUUUACCUAAUUUGCUAAGACUGACUGGCUUAAAUACCCAUUGUGUGUUGCUGGUGCCCUGUCCUUGGAUCUCUCUCAAGACAGAACAAAAGUGGUGUACUGUGUGGGCUACCUUGGUUCACACAGUCUGGCAGAGAUCGGUCUUCUAAGUUACAAUGUCUCUUUCAUCGGCUUUUCAUCUUUGUAUUUUUUUUAUAUUUUUACUUUUUUCCUAAUGCUUUGUCCUAAAUGCCUUUUGAGGGAAAAUGGCAAGCAGUGACUUGUUAAUUUAUACACUUCUUAAAUUUUAAAAUAUACAGGCAUGGGUCUAUUUGAGGAGAGGGCAGAUUUGGUGCUGGGAGAAAGGUUUAACAAGCCAGCUGGGAUGGGGUGUGUGUGCAUACGCAUGUCGUGCUCGUGCAUGAGUGCGUGCAUGUGCGUGUGUUGUGUUGUGUUGUGUUUCCUCCAUAGAAAUUCUUUUCCUGGAUUUGUGAUCCCUGUGGAAUAUUAAGAACCUCUCCGAUUGAAUCUCAGGGAGGAACCGGAGGUAUGUAUGACAACUGUUUGAGAAGAAGGUCCCAAAUCCCUCUCUUAAAACCUUGGGAUUGUGCUUGAGACUCAGCCCCGAUGUGUUCCGUGGUAAUUCACUCACCUGGUUUACCCACACUGUAUGCUCCCCCUACCUGCCCCUACCUUGUCAUAAGUGCUGAGGGUUGAACCCAGGGCCUCGUUGCAUGUCAGGUGCUGGGAACAUUAAAUCUUCAUGUCCCGAGGACAAGAAAAUUAAAAGUACUCAUUGUUCAGUAGCUACUGAGGCUGAUGAGAGGCGGGACUGUGGAUUCACGUGACUGACGAUGACUGGUCUUCCUGGCCAUAUUACUUUCUCUUUCUUUUAUCAAGUACAGACAUGGCACCUACCUGGAGUGGUGGUAUGAGUGCCCAAUCUCAAGGAAACAACCUAGGCCACCUGUUCCCAUUUUUUUUAUUGCUGUUGUUACAUGUGUAUAUGUGACAUAUGUGCGUGUAUGUUCAUGUGUUUGUGGGUACACAUUGUAUGCGGGUGUGUGUGGAUAUGUCUCUACGUGGCCAUUGAAGAAAUUAAAACAGGAAGACUCGAUUGUUA